rnacentral:rRNA from 1 species
AGCGAACGCUGGCGGCAGGCCUAACACAUGCAAGUCGAACGAAGUCUUCGGACUUAGUGGCGGACGGGUGAGUAACACGUGGGAACGUACCUUUUGGUUCGGAACAACUCAGGGAAACUUGAGCUAAUACCGGAUGAGCCCUAAGGGGGAAAGAUUUAUCGCCGAAAGAGCGGCCCGCGUUGGAUUAGCUAGUUGGUGAGGUAAAGGCUCACCAAGGCUACGAUCUAUAGCUGGUCUGAGAGGAUGAUCAGCCACACUGGGACUGAGACACGGCCCAGACUCCUACGGGAGGCAGCAGUGGGGAAUCUUGCACAAUGGGCGAAAGCCUGACGCAGCCAUGCCGCGUGAAUGAUGAAGGUCUUAGGAUUGUAAAAUUCUUUUACCAGGGACGAUAAUGACGGUACCUGGAGAAAAAGCCCCGGCUAACUUCGUGCCAGCCGCCGCGGUAACAC